UCAUGUCAAACGUUAUAAACGGUAUGUAUUUAUUAAGCCAAAUCAAAAAUUCAUUGCCAGACAAAGUUCAAUCAAACGAAAAAGCAAAGAAAACAAAACAAGGAAUUGCAUAGUGGCAAUUAAAAAAACUUCAAUUAUAUAGACUCCUCUCCUUCAAAGAGAAAAAUAGUAAUAAAAUUCUCCUUCCUCCACAGGUGUAUUGGGUCUUCUCUUGGUGUCUGGCCUUCCUUCAGGGUCGUCUCUCCUAACUGGAGUCAGUGCUGGGGCGGCUGAGCAGUGCCCACGCUUUCCUCUUGUCUGUCCGUCCGUCUGGUUGUGGCCUAAGUUCGCAAAGCGAACACCAACAGCAGUAAGGGCUCCUUUCCGCCCCAAAGGUCUAGAAUCUUUACCCCCUGGCCCUAGGUUGAGCUCGACCUAACAGCUGAGGACAGCGCCUAUUUAUUCUAGCGCUGUGUUACUUAUAGAAAGGAAAUAUGUGUGUCCAGGUCCUGUCCGUCCGUCUAAGUUCACGUAUACGUCCCGCAAUAGUGUUUGUGAGGAAAAGGGUACCUGCAGCACUGUCGGCUGACCAGUGCUUUUGAUAUAGAGCUUCCCACGAUGGACAGAGGAGGUGGAGGUGUAGCUUUAUGUUUUCGCGUUUGGCUUUUUGUUAUUUUGUGAUCAACUUUAGUGGUGUCUAUUGUCUUUGAUUUUCAAGUUUAGGAUUUUUAACUAUUGACUUUGAUUUGGUUUUUAGUUUUUUUUUUCUUUUUAGGUCUUUUAUUAUUACAUUGGUAUUUUCCUUUUUUUUCAGGUUCUUUGGCUUUGUUUCGAAACUUUUCCCUUUUCAGGUUCCUUUUUAUUUAAUUUGAUAACAUUUCUUUUUUUUUUUCCAGAGUUUUCAUAGAUUUUCUUUUUCAGCUUUUAAUAACUUUCAGUUCGAUUUAUUUUAAUCACCUUUUUUUUUAUAAUCUUCUUUUUCAGCUCUUUAGUUUUUAAUUUGUAUUUAUUUUCAUUUAUUUUGUUACAGCUUUUAAAACUUCUCAAUAAUUUAUAGUUAAUUUUUUUCCUCUUUCAGCAAAUGUGCUGAAAGUUCAAUAAAUCACUUUAAAACUUUGAAUUUGGUCUUUUUCUUUGUUGUUGGGUAAAAGCCAGUUCCGCCUCCUUUUCUCUGCCGAAUCCAAAACCAAAAAGACUUUCUUUCUUUUUGAAAACACCACUUUCAACACUCUUCUGUACACCACCUCUUACUCCUUGCACGGCUCCAUCCAAAAAGAACUAGUCAUCUUCCCUUUACUGUCCAUCAUGGUUCCCCCAAGCCAUCAUGUCCACCGAGGAACCAUCAUAAAAUUUUGUUUUCCAAAAUCGCAAAAACAAAUAACAUAUGGUUUCCUCGAUUUUCAUUGUAGUAGUUACAUUUGUAU